GGGUGAGUAAUAUAUCGGAACGUGCCCAGUAGUGGGGGAUAACUGCUCGAAAGAGCAGCUAAUACCGCAUACGACCUGAGGGUGAAAGGGGGGGAUCGCAAGACCUCUCGCUAUUGGAGCGGCCGAUAUCAGAUUAGCUAGUUGGUGGGGUAAAGGCCUACCAAGGCAACGAUCUGUAGUUGGUCUGAGAGGACGACCAGCCACACUGGGACUGAGACACGGCCCAGACUCCUACGGGAGGCAGCAGUGGGGAAUUUUGGACAAUGGGCGCAAGCCUGAUCCAGCAAUGCCGCGUGCAGGAAGAAGGCCUUCGGGUUGUAAACUGCUUUUGUCAGGGAAGAAAUCCUCUAGGUUAAUACCCUUGGGGGGAUGACGGUACCUGAAGAAUAAGCACCGGCUA
rnacentral:rRNA from 1 species